CACACAUUGACAGUACCCACUGACAAGCCAGAGCAAGUGGGCGACCAACCCGCACAGUGACACUCUACUUGUGCAUAUACUACUUCCCGGUCGACCGAAGACUCACUGUCAUGAACAUGGAGACCGGGUUCAGGAGACGCGACCUGACAUGAGUAUGGCGGACAAGCGUGCGGAAACACGGGGCACCACUUAAAAUAAUUUGGAGACGCGGAUCAAACAUGUAGACAACUGUAGACGUCAGCCAUACAGUGUUGGAGAAAAACCUUAAGAGGUAUAGGAGACAGGUCGUGUGUCCAGGUAAAGGAGAGGCGGGUCGCAUCAAGUGUAUUACCAUAUCAUGCCAGGAUACUUUCACUGUCACAGUGGAUACUGAACUCUUACAGAAUGUCGACUUCCUCGCAAAUACCUUUGACAACAAGUGAAUCAACGGAAUCAACAACAGUGUCAACAGCAUCAACAACAACAACAACAACAGCAACAACUUCAUCAACAAUGACGACACAAACAACAUCAAUCACCAGUACAACUUCACCUUCAGAAGAUACAAACACAUUGAUGUACGUUGGUGUGGGAAUAGGAGUGGCGGUGGUUGUUAUUUUCGCGAUCGUUGCCGUGCUGUUAUGGUGUCGUUGUCGAAGGAGGAGGACGCCAGACUCCCAACCGGAAAUGCCGAAACCCUAUCCCCCCAGUGAUGCCGGAAUCCGAGAUGUCGACUUCAACAGAUUUUCUUGUCCAAAACGAGAGCCUAUCUGCAGACUCCCUGCCUAUAGCCCCACCUCCGCCUCAAGUCGAGUUUGAGCCCAAUCCCCAGGGAAGGUUCGACGAGUUGAACGAGAACACAGCUGGUGAAGACGAGGAAGGUGGUGAAGACUACUUACAGCCUGGCAGCUGGAAGCCCGCGUCAGAUGAUCUGUACAUACCUAUGGAUGUCCAUGUCAAGCAGGAACCACCCGUCCCGUCAAGUCAGCUGACGGUCGAGUAUGCUGGCCCCAGUUCACAUCCCCCCAAACCAGUAGCGUGCCAUGGGUCAAAAGGGUAUGUGAACAUCCCCAACUCCGGCGCACCACGUGUGCAACACCGGUCAGAUAUCCAAAGGUGAAGGAAGAAGACGAGGAGGAAGAAGCUCAAGAAGACUACCAGAAUGUUCCUACAGCAUCAACUGGUAACGGUGUUGCGCAGAACAACGCAAACACGCUUCCAAAAUAUGCAAAUCUGUCUGCCGAGGAGAUGAUGCGUGCCUCACCUCGAUCUCUCCCUAAAGUGCCAAAGACAAAUGUAAAGGCAGGACAGCCGAAGAAUGUAAAGAAGGAACAGCCAACAAAGGUAAAGACAGAACAGACGACUAAUGCCAAGACAGCACAACCGGCAAAAGCAAGGGCAGAGCAUACGCCCAAAAAGGUCACACCAAAGGUCACACCUAAAGUGAAACACAAACAGCAGUCUCAGGAAGAGAGCGAAGAAUCAGCACCUGACUAUGUCAAUGUCAAACAAUAUUCAAAAAAGGCGGAAGUAAGUGGCCGACCGGACAUGGUGGAACUUAAGCUUGCUUUGAAAUCAAGAAAGAAGUAAACAUUAUUAAGUGAACGUACACGUUAUGAAAUGCAAUUAGUGUCUUUCAACUGGGAGGUCAUUUUGAUUAGGGGUCCAAUACCCCUUCAAGGACUUUUGCUAUGACCCGUUAGCAUUCAGCACUGUGGCUAAGGUCUGUGCUGUGACCAGUGGGGAUCUGUGAUGUGGCCAGUUGGAGGUCAGUGCUGUGACAAACGGGAGGUCAGUGCUGUGACAAAUGGGAAGUCAGUGCUGUGACAAAUGGGAGGUCAGUGCUGUGACAAAUGGGAGGUCAGUGCUGUGACAAAUGGGAGGUUAGUGCUGUGACAAAUGGGAGGUCAGUGCUGUGACAAAUGGGAGGUCAGUGCUGUGACAAAUGGGAGGUCAGUGCUGUGACAAAUGGGAGGUCAGUGCUUUGACAAAUGGGAGGUCAAUGCUGUGACAAAUGGGAGGUCAGUGCUGUGACCAACGGGAGGUCAGUGCUGUGAUAGCAAGACACAGACAUCUGAACUUGCCACAUUCCUUCAGCUAUAUAAAUGUUCUAUACAAACGUAUCUUCGAGCGUCUGUGUGAUAAAACUGCCACUCUUUGUGUAUGUGGAACAGUGUAUAUUCGAAGUGGAUAUAUUCUACUUAAUGUGAUAUCUGAAGCCCCAAUGACAGUGGAUAUUACGUGGGCAGUUAGCGUGAUCUGAUACUAUGGACCGGAAGCGGAAGUUGGCUGGAUGUGCUUGAGCAGCCACGUGACACAGCCGGGAUCUCACAAGGAAUUGUCUUCAGUAGCGCACACCUUAUUCGGAGAAAAUCACCACACUUAAUA